rnacentral:rRNA from 1 species
CAGAGAUGCUUUGGUGCCUUCGGGAACUCUGAGACAGGUGCUGCAUGGCUGUCGUCAGCUCGUGUUGUGAAAAUGUUGGGUUAAGUCCCGCAACGAGCGCAACCCUUAUCCUUUGUUGCCAGCGGUCCGGCCGGGAACUCAAAGGAGACUGCCAGUGAUAAACUGGAGGAAGGUGGGGAUGACGUCAAGUCAUCAUGGCCCUUACGAGUAGGGCUACACACGUGCUACAAUGGCGCAUACAAAGAGAAGCGACCUCGCGAGAGCAAGCGGACCUCAUAAAGUGCGUCGUAGUCCGGAUUGGAGUCUGCAACUCGACUCCAUGAAGUCGGAAUCGCUAGUAAUCGUGGAUCAGAAUGCCACGGUGAAUACGUUCCCGGGCCUUGUACACACCGCCCGUCACACCAUGGGAGUGGGUUGCAAAAGAAGUAGGUAGCUUAACCUUCGGGAGGGCGCUUACCACUUUGUGAUUCAUGACUGGGGUGAAGUCGUAACAAGGUAAGCGUAGUGCU